rnacentral:sRNA from 1 species
AAAAUGAGAAAUACAUGCUACUUAUAGCCAAAUAUCCCGAAAUCCUAUUACCCAAAACGACGAAGUAUUUGGACGGGUUAAGAACUGUACUCGACCCACGUGGUCGAGUGAUAGGUCGAGUGAAUAGCUGGAGUCUUCUUUUCUUCCUUGUGCUCGAGUGUCUGGUUGAGUGCAGAAUGAAGAAGGCUCUGAAGCUUGUCAUCGAGUAUGCAGUCGAGUGGUGUGGUGGAGAUACUCGACCUCUUGGUAGAGUGAGUAGGUCGAGUGGUUGUCUGAUGAUGGAGGUGAAGACACUCGACCUCAUGGUCGAGUGAAGUGAUCGAGUGAGGGUCUGGUGAUGGAGAUGAUGGCACUCGACCUCGGGGUCGAGUGGUGAGGUGAAGUGGUGAUGUCUUCUACUCGACCUGGUGGUCGAGUGGUUUGUCAUGAUCAUGUCCGCUUCUUCCAGAUAGCUCGUCAACAGCUCCAAAUCACCUGAAAUCAACGCAAAUAUGCAACAUGCAUGCAAAACUAUCCUAAACACGCAAAGUGAUGAUAAAUGUUGUGAAAUGGUAUAAAACAGUGAUGAUAUGAUGCUAAAAUGAUGACAAAUGGAUGCUCAAAACAUGCAAAAUACACACUUAUCAACUCCCCCAAACUUAGUCUUUGCUUGCCCUCAAGCAAACAAUCAAGAACAAGCUGGAGGUGAGGUUUGAAAGCGGGGACUCAGAGCCAAAGCACUAGAUAAACCAGAUGAAAUCAAUGUCCAAGUUAAAAGUUCUAAGCUGCAAGAUCGAAUUUUACUUAAAAACGUUAGCCAUGCCUCAUCAAUCAAUCAAUCCGACUCAUAUGCUCGACCUACACAAGUUUUCAAAUCUACCAAUCCCUUUAACAUUCAUUAGUUCUGGAACGUGAAUCAAGCAAUGCAUCAUCAAAGAACUCAUUUGGCUAAGGUAAAAGGUCAAGAGACAAAGAUGGUCCCUUACAGAAUAGUCUUCAGUAACAAGGGAUCUCUCAAAAAAUGAUUAAGCUUUAGUAGAAUGCUAAAGGUAAGUCCCAAGCUAUGCAUACAGAGAUAAGAUCCCAUCUACCCAGUGUAUAUCAAAUGAAGCUCUAAUGGUAAUCCCAUCUCCCAUCUCAAUACAAGAACUAAACUCUACCCUUUGCAUUCAUGAAUUUUUUGUAGCCCUUUUUCGAAUCAUUCUUUUCUUUUUCUCUUAACUCUAGGAGAAGCUUCAACACUUUGAUAUAUCUAGCGGAUUUGGAUUUCUUUAACAACUAAGGUUCCUGUUUUUAACAUUUUAAAACCAAGGGCUUUUGCCCAUCUUCAAUAGCUAACAAGAACUCUUUCUUUUCUUUACAAAUCCCAAAACCUUUACUAGACUUUUUCUGCUUCUUUAGCUUACUUCACCUAGAGUCCUUUACCUUUUCUCAUCAAUGAAUCAACCCCCUCUUUU